rnacentral:rRNA from 1 species
AGUGAAGCGGGAUGAGCUCAAAUUUAAAAUCUGGCUGGUUUACUAGUCCGAAUUGUAGUUUAAAGAAGCGUUUUCGGUGGCAGCCUGGGUAUAAAUCCUUUGGAAUAGGGUAUCAUAGAGGGUGAGAAUCCCGUCUUUGACUCAGUGCAUGCUACUAUGUGAUACGUUUUCAAAGAGUCGAGUUGUUUGGGAAUGCAGCUCAAAAUGGGUGGUAAAUUUCAUCUAAAGCUAAAUAUUGGCGAGAGACCGAUAGCGAACAAGUACCGUGAGGGAAAGAUGAAAAGAACUUUGAAAAGAGAGUUAAACAGUGCGUGAAAUUGUUGAAAGGGAAACGCUUGACACCAGUCAUGCGGGCGGAAAAUCAGUCUCUUGUAGUAGGGAGUGGUGGGAGUUUGGACCGCAAGGCCAGCUUUUGCUUCAUCUUUGCUAUAAGUGGUGCACUUUUUCGUUUGCAGGUCAACAUCAGUUUCUUCUGCUGGACAAAACUCCGAGAGAAGGUAGCAGCUUAGGCUGUGUUAUAGCUCUGGAGCGAUACAGUGGAGGGGACUGAGGCUUUCGCAGCGUGUGCUCUCGGGCAAGGCUGAUUGGGUGCUAUGAGAUCGUUCGGUGUACAAUGCAUGCAUUUUGCGCCGUGUCUUUUUUAUACUCGCUCAACUCGGCUCUUCCACGCUUAGGAUGUUGACUUAAUGGUUUUAAUCGACCCGUCUUGAAACACGGACCAAGGAGUCUAACAUAUAUGCAAGUGUUUGGGUGGCAAACCCAUGCGCGUAAUGAAAGUGAACGUAGGUGCCAUCCGCAAGGUGCAGCAUCGACCGAUCUUGAUAUUUUUGGAUAGAUUUGAGUAAGAGCAUAUAUGCUGGGACCCGAAAGAUGGUGAACUAUGCCUGAAUAGGGUGAAGCCAGAGGAAAACUCUGGUGGAGGCUCGUAGCGAUUCUGACGUGCAAAUCGAUCGUCAAAUUUGGGUAUAGGGGCGAAAGACUAAUCGAACCCAUCUAGUAGCUGGUUUCCUGCCCGA